UGAGAUUCUAUCUCAAAACAAGAAAUAAAAGUAGGUUUAUCUAUCAGUUAGCAUUGUCAAUUUAACACAGCUUAGCCGUCUGAAAAGAGAUUCUUUUUCACUUGAGGGAUUGUCUAGGUUAGAUUGGCCUGUGGAGGAUUGUCUCGAUUGUUAAUGGGUGCAGGAGAGCCUGGCCCACUAUGGGCAGCAACAUUCCCUAGGCAGGUGGUCUGGGUUGUAUAGGAAAACUAAGCACAAACCUGUAUCUUACCAGGGAUUGCUCACUAGCCAGUCUAGAGCCGACAUAGUGAGUCCUAGAAUCAGUCAGAGACUGUCUCAAAAAAAUACAGCGAAGAGAAAAAGAGUAAAAGAACCAUAUUGACCUGUGGCUCACACACACACACACACACACACACACACACACACACACACACACUUAACUAUAGCAUGUUGGUCAAAGGGAUCAGAAAACUAAAUGAAGAGAUAAUCACAGCGGUAAGGAUGUCUUUGAGGUUCUCUAUUGGAACAUAAUCAUUUGGUGGCUUUCUGACUUCACAUUCCAUUCCCUCACAUGCUGUUCUAGUUUCCUUCCUGUUGCUGAGCAAGCAGCAUCGGGGAGGGAAGGGAUUACAUGGCUCACGCUUCAGGUCACAGUCCAUCACUGAGGGAUGUCAGGGAGUAUGGAGCAGAAACCAUGGAAGAAGGCUACUUGCUUUCCUCACUCCUGUGUCCUAGCAUCUAGACCCAACUGUCCUUCCCAUCCAUCCCCAGUCUGUACAGUCCGGCUCAGCACUCUAGUAUCUCUAGGGUGGUUGUGAGUCCCCAUGUGGCAGUUGAGCUGUCCUGGAAAGGGCCCAACCGGAACAACCAGGCGCCAAAGGUUCAGCUCAUGUGGAGUUGGCUCCUGGGCAAGUCCAUAAGAGUUGCCAGCUGAAGAGAAAAACCACAAAAUGGUUUGCCCUGAAGCCUUUUCUGAUGUGUGGUCAAGAGUGCGCUGCAGCCUUUCUCCGCCCCUACUACCCUCCCCAUCCCCUGAAUAAACUCUAUUCUAUACUAAG
ensembl:lncRNA